UACGUAGGUGGCAAGCGUUGUCCGGAUUUACUGGGCGUAAAGAGCGCGCAGGCGGUCGUACAAGUCGCGUGUGAAAGCCCCCGGCUCAACUGGGGAGGGUCACGCGAUACUGUUCGACUCGAAGGCAGGAGAGGGAAGCGGAAUUCCCGGUGUAGUGGUGAAAUGCGUAGAUAUCGGGAGGAACACCAGUGGCGAAGGCGGCUUCCUGGCCUGUUCUUGACGCUGAGGCGCGAAAGUUAGGGUAGCAAACGGG
rnacentral:rRNA from 1 species